AUGGUUAUAUGCUUGAAUAAUCAGUUUCUGAGAGCUAAUUUUAUUGUUUCUCAACUAAAAUUUAGAGAGCAGCAGUUGAAGAAAGAUUAUUUUAUUGUUAAAUCUAUUGUAGAGAAGAGUGGCUUCGGUUUUCAUCCUGUUACAAAAAUGCCAACAACCAUGGUUUGCAUGCAAUUUAUUGAAAAAUGGGAUGAAUUGAGCAAAGAACAACAGAAGUGGAGAUACAAAGCUUUCCCUUACUAUGAUGAUUUGCAUGCAAUUUAUUGA
rnacentral:rRNA from 1 species